UAACCACUGACGAUAAUCGUGAAUGUUA
rnacentral:ncRNA from 1 species